AGGAGGAACAACAAGUGGUGGCGGGGCCAGCUCUGCAGCCCUGGAGUCAGCCCCCGCAGUAGCUCCGCAGCGCUCCGUCUGCAGGGCCUGGAGGCUCCGGGGCGGG
rnacentral:pre_miRNA from 1 species